CAGGAAACCACGGAGUGUGGGCAGGGGUGGGGGAUGGUCCAGCCUACGGUCGCUCGCUGGCGGCCGCGCUGCAGGUGGCUCGAGCAGCUGCCAGCCAUGCGGCUUCCCGCUGCAGUGCCCGCCCGCGCCCCAGCCUCUUCUUGGGGGGUUUUCCGGCUCCGGGCGCCCCAAAGCCACCCCGGCCGUGCACAGCUUUCUGAUGAGUCAGCAGCAGCCGGGAGCCUCCGGCCGCCGCGGGCAUCUGCUCAGUGACGCACCGUGAGUCACGGGCGCCCGGGCAGCCGCAGCCGAGCAGCUUCGCUGCAGCGCCGCCCCCACGGCGCCCACCGGGCCGCUCGCCCGCACCCGCUCCGCCUCCUGCGCCCGCCGGGCCUCUCCUUCGCCUCCCCGCCGCGGCCGGCCGGGCUCCAGGCUGACAUCAGACGCUGGCCGCCAGGCCACCCUCUGAGUCAACAGUUUCCGAAGCGCAGCCUGCUGCCAGGAGCGGGAGAAAGCUCAGCCUCCCGGGGAGGCGCGGCCCGCACCACUCGGGCUGCGGUGGAGGGCGGAGGUGGGUGGGGACGAGCGGGGGCCUUUACCAGAAGUCACGAGGGCGAGGGAGAAGGGAGGGCCAUCGCCACCCUGCGGGGUAGCCGGGCGCAGUGGAAGCCCGCCGCCCCCAGCCACGUGCUGCAGCCCGCGCUGGGUGGCAAGGCUGGAACCGCCCCAAGGGCGGGAGGAGAGGGAAGGCGAGGCCCUUGCUGGGAAAGGCCCCGGGCCAAGUUUCUAGAAGCAGGACUUGCACCUCCCUAGAGACCUCUCUCAGACUUAGGGUACCGACCUGGGCGGGGACAGGCUUUGGGGCUGAGACGUGGCCUCCAAUCAGGCUUUUGAUGGGGGCAGCUUUGAUUAAGCCCCUCGCCUUACUCUUGGUCAGCGGCAGACCCUGUAGUCAACUUGGGAUGGGGAAGUGAGGAAGCACCCUUGUUCAGCUAAAGAGGUGUAGUCAAAGUUAAGAGUUAACGGAGCCCUAGUAAAUGGUUAGCAGAUGACGUCCUAUGAAACUGGGCGGUAAUGGUAUAAAGAGAGGCAUAAAAAAAUAAGAAUUCUGAGAGUAUUUUUUUUUAAAUUAUCAUUGGAGGGCAUGAUUCUUCAUCCCUAAGCAGGUUUCCAGAAGCUGGGUGUGUGGCUUGGUGGUUGAGCGGUUGCUUACACACGCAGGUCUAGUACUCAGGCGUUGCAUGUUGGGGGUAAGAUGGGGGAGAGUGAAUUGCCAAGCCCCACGUACUGUACAAUAAUCUAGCCUUCUACAAGGCUAGGCAUCUGGGUGCUUCGAACUGCCUCAGAGUCUGCUCAGCAACCAGUCCGAGAGGCGCUCUGUUUCCAGGAGGCCCAGGGAGGGCGAAGCUGGAGCUCCGGGAACUGAAGACGUUGCUGGUGGUGCCGGCUUCAUCAGGCUACAGCAGCUAGCUCUGUUCUCUAGCCACGGAUGCAACAGUUAAAAAAAAAAAAAAAAAAAUCAACAUAAGAAACAUCUACCGUCCGUGAACUUCGUGGCCUUUGGAAGCUUCUUUAACUCUGGGAGCUUUUCCUUACCAGGUCAAACAGGAAGGCAGGUUACGGAGGCUCCAGGAGGACACGGAAGGCAGCAGAUGUUACAGGUGAAAGAGUUGGAACAAGACAGCUCAGGUCUCAGUUCUCACCUCCAAGCUGUAUGAGCGGAAGUCAUCCACCAGAGCCUGGUGCCACACAGUUGGGAUUAUCUCUGAUGCCAGCAGCAUGCACCUCGGGAGUGGCUGGUGCAGUUCCUCCCCGGAUUCCUAAUGGGGCAGGAUGUCUGACCCCUGUGGCCUCCGUCUAUCCUGCACGUUUGGCUGCUUGAACUACAGAAGAGACAGUUAUUGAACAAACCUUUAUUUUUUAAAAAAAAUUUAUUUACUUUUAUGUGUAGGGGUGUUUUUGCCUGCACGUGUGUCUAUGCCAUGUGUGUGCCCUGUGCCUACAGAAGCCAGAAGAGGGCAUCAGAUUCACUGGCACUGGAGUUACAGAUGGUUGUGAACUGCCGUGUGGAUGCAAGGCCUCCAGAAGAGCAGCCGGUGCUUCCAGCUGCUGAGCCACUGCCCCAGCCCCUGCACAGAUCUUUCUUGGGCUCCAGCUAUGGCCCAGUAAACAAAACCCUUGGCAGCCAGCUCUCUGGGACUCACCUUUGAAAAGAUGCGAUUCUUCCCGUACUGGUUUGCUACCGUGGGCCUCACCAGUUCUCUGUCCAGCUGGCUCACAGAAAAGAAACGCUGUCCAGCAGUUCUGUGGGCCGUUGUCUGCAUGGUCACUGGGCAGUGUGGGAGGAUCUAUUCAAUGCCUUUCUGGGAGCUCCUGGUGCCCUAGGGUAUGGACUUCCUUGGCUUGUGGAAGCAUUACCCAGACCUCUGCAGCAUCUUCUCAAGACGCCUUCCUGCCUUUGUGUUCAACUCUACCUGAAUUAUUGUUGUUCUUUGUUUUGUUUUGUUUUGUUUUGUUUUGUUUUGUUUUGUUUUGUUUGAGACAGGGUUUCUCUGUGUAGCCCUGGCUGUCCUGGAACUCACUUUGUAGACCAGGCUGGUCUCGAACUCAGAGAUCCACCUACCUCUGUCUCCUGAGGGCUGGGAUUAAAGGCAUGAGCCACCACACCCAGCCACCACCAAAUUUUUCUUUGUUUUAUAAGGACACACACAGUCAUCGCAUCAAAGCACGCGUUAGUGACCUCAUCCUGACCUGAUCUUUCCUCAGGACCGUUUCCCUGUAAAGAUGCCUUCUGGGGUGCUGAGAGUUAGGAUUCCAGCUUGUCGUUUUCGCGGUGUUGGUGGACCCUGUCUCAGGGAGAUCUUGGGCAGGCUGUCUCAGCCAUGAGUCUCAGAGUACACUAGCCAUGCCAUGUCUGGAGACCAGCGAUCCACAGCUCCUCUCACCUCCUCUGCUUCUUCCAUCCUUUCUCCUGAGGGGGUGAUGCAGACAACCCGUUUAUGGCUGGACAUCCAAUAGGGGGGUUAAUGCACACCAGAGCUUGGAAGCUACCAGAACCAACUGGAAGGAAAGCAGCUUCCACCACCAGAGGGCUGAGCUGCAGGAUCCUGUUACCCGUUUGUGCCGGUCUGGGUAUCCUUUGGCCUGUUCCCAGUUUCUCAGGGCAAACAGCCUUGCAGAGCAGGCCUCGCUGUGUGCCAGGGACAAGAUUUUAAGAAAACAGGGUCUCAUGUAGCCCAGGCUGGCCUAAAACUUGCUCACCUUGACCUCAGAUGGAAUUUCGAGAGCAGCGUCUCCAGCAUCGCGUGGCACUGGGGGCCACCUUGUCCAGCCACGCUGUCAUUUCAGCAAGCAGAGCAAGGGACACGAAGACAUGGGAAGCAGGACAGCCACACUGCUGGGUUUUAAUCCAAACUUGUCAACCUAUGCCAUUUUGGGCCGGUGACUCAGUGACUUCGUAAAUCGGAACAAAACUGCGACGUCCUUGUGUGUUUGCUGCUGUUGCUGUUUGCUCUUAUUUUUUUGGCACUGCUUGGGAUCCCCAAGUUCUCUUGCUACUACCAGGUCCCCCCUCAUUCUAGACCAGUGUUCGACUUCUGACUGAGACAAACCUGUAGCCCCUCGUCUAGGGUCAUUACUAGGAGUAAGUGGCUGAUGUGCCAAGGUUGUGGCUGGGAGGCAGUGGACAACCCUGUCCCUGCCAGGACCUUUUCCUGAGCUGGGUUCUGUCAUUUCUCUUGAAAGAGGCUUGAGCCAAGACGUAAAACUUUUCUGGGCUGGGUGGUGGUGGAGCACGCCUUUAAUCCCAGCACUCGGGAGGCAGAGACAGGCGGAUCUCUGUGAGUUUGAGGCCAGUCUGGUCUACAAGAGCUAGUUCCAGGACAGACUCCAAAGCCACAGAGAAACCCUGUCUCAAAAAAUCAAAACAAACAACAACAACAAAACUUUUCUGGCUACCCCUGUUUGAAAUGUUCCCCAACAUCCAUCCAUCUCAGCAACAGGGUAUCACCAAGCUCUUCACAGGUACCUAGACAAUGCUUCUCAGAAGUCAGCCUGCACACUCGGGCAUCUGCCAUUCACCUCUGGACGGUCCUGGGUCCUGCUCCUACACGCAAGAUAUCGACCACGUGCCUCGUUUUCCUGCUCUUUUGCCCAUGAGGCUGUUUACAGGCCUUGGCUCUGUAUUCUGGAAACCAGAACCCCUUCCGAGGCCCUGCCUGGGUCUCCGCCAGAUGUGAGACUAGCUUACCAGAGGGUAAGCAGGAAACUGUUGCAGUUUCUUCCUAACUCUGCCCAUUGGCUUGGUUACUUGGCCUCCAUUAAGUAUCUAUGACUGACCAGAGCUGGGUAACUGAAUUAGAACAAAGAACUGGAAGGAAACAAUGAGAGGAAAUUCAGCCCAGUGGGGACUCGCCGGGGAGCCCACUAUAAUACGGAAAGGGGAGGGACUCACAGGCACCCAGGGGACAGUGGUUGUUAAGGACCCACAGGGCAGCUUCCUGCCAGCCUAUGGCUCACCUCUGAGCCCUUCAGCCUUCCAGGAAAGACUUGGAAUAGUCUUCUGGGCAUGAGCAUACUGGGAAGGAAUACUGGGAGGGGGUAAGAAAGAAAGAGGGCAAAUGUCAACACCGGGAGAAAGGCUGGACAACCGCACCAAACGCGGAAGGGCGGGGAGUUCCAGGCCAGUUGCAGGUGUGGAUCUACUUAGAAGGAAUAGGGUGACGUUGAACUUCUAAUUGAAAGACAGGGAGGGCACAGGACUAUCAGACUUCCUCGGAGUCAGCCUGAGAGAACUCAGCACAAGAGUCUGGCUCACCUUGGAAUGUUCUGGAAUGCCUGGAAUACGGGCAGGUGCAUCUCUUGCCAGACGCCAUAACCCUUGAGCCAACAAGGUCAAAAGGCAAACUUUCCAGCCAGGCGAAGUGGCACUCGCCUAUAAACCAAACACUUGAAAGGCAGAGGCAGGAGAAUUGCCACACAGUUGAAGGCAGCCUGGUCUAAACAGAGUUCUAAGCCAGCCAUGGCUAUGCAGUAAGAACCAAUCUUAAAACAAAAAAGCAAUUUUGCCAAACUCUUCCGGCCACUGGGGUAGAGCCACUCACACUGUUCUGGUGUUUCGGCGAGCCCUAAGGUGUGAGUGUGUGUGUGUGUGUGUGUGUGUGUGUGUGUGAGUAUGCGUGCACGUGUGUGUGACAGAAGGGAGUCUGCAAGGCUCUGCACACUCUUGUGGGUUGCUGUUUCUUGUAGGACAGUGUUUGUUUAGGAGAACGUACAGUUUGUCUUGUACUCACCUGAGGGGAUAGAGCAUUAUCUAUUUCCCACAGAUGAUGAGACGUGUCGUCUAUGUUGGAUGUGCUGAUCCUUGAAGGCCCUCCCUUUUGAGGUCAUUCCUUUAACCUGAAUCACGAUUCAGAACUGUCACCUACUUACCCCUCAUGUCUCAGGCUCCAGUGUAACUGUGCGACUUCUGUCCAUAAGCGCUGAGCAGGCACCAUGGAUGUCUCAGUUCACUCUGUGUGAGUCUAUAAGUCAGACCAUUGAGUCUCUUCUGACAGCCUAUAGAUCUGUUAUUUCCUUAUGCACAGUCUCUUGGGUGCUCUUUCUGUGUGAGGCACUGUCCUAGGUUCUGGCGACAGUACCAGGUCUCUUUGUUCUUGCUAGGCCCGCUGAUGAGAGACGUACACAGGAACAUUUUAGCUGGUGACAACUGUCACCAAAGAGGCAGGUGUGCUGUGGUGGAGGGUGGGACACCCUCCACUGUGCUGUGAUGAUGACCGCGUCUUUCGUGCUCAGGCCAAUCACAGACGGCAUUGGGAUAUCCGGACAUCCCGGGUACUGCUCCAUUCGGUGGUGGCAGGUUAUCAUCUAUUAUCAUAAGUUCCAAAGACAUGAAGCCCUUGGUCAACAGAUGUCACAGGGCUGAGCUACCAAAAGCAGGUACUGCGGGUUAGUCAGGGUCAUUGUUCUUUCUGAGCACAUUGGGCUCAGGGUAACUAGUUUUUAUUUGCUUGGUUGGUUGCUUGCUUGGUUACACACACACACACACACACACACACACACUGGCAGAGGUAGUGGUAUGUGUAUAGAUUUCAAAGUCCCCCCUCUUCCCUGUGAGCCCUGGGAAUGAAACUCAGUUCUUGAGCCCUACAGUGAAUGCUUUUAACCACUGAGCCAUCUUGCUGGCUCUGUUUGGCUGAAUUUUUGAGACAAGGUUAGACUCAAUCUGCAGUCUAACCUGACCUUGAAUUCACCGUAUAGCCCAGGCUGGCCCCUCAGCCUCCUGGGAUUGCCGCCAUGCCUGGCCCUUUUUU